AUUUUCUCUUUAAUUUCUCUUUUCAAACUCCUAACUCUAUCAUUACCACACUCCUAGACAUCUCUACAGGAUUGACAAUUUGACCCACUACCUCCAGAUGAUUCUACUCCUCAACAUCUUACCAACUUCACAAGUAACAAAUCAUUCUACUAAGCAACAAAUUUUGUUUAUUUUUCAUGGAAAGAUUUUUAGGAAAACAGAUAUUGUUAACCACAAAUAAACAUUUCCCUAGAGUCCCCAAG
rnacentral:misc_RNA from 1 species